GACGAACGCUGGCGGCGUGCUUAACACAUGCAAGUCGAGCGGAAAGGCCCUUCGGGGUACUCGAGCGGCGAACGGGUGAGUAACACGUGAGUAACCUGCGCCAGACUUUGGGAUAACCCUCGGAAACGGGGGCUAAUACCGGAUACGACACAGCUUCGCAUGGGGUCUGUGUGGAAAGUUUUUCGGUUUGGGAUGGGCUCGCGGCCUAUCAGCUUGUUGGUGGGGUGAUGGCCUACCAAGGCGACGACGGGUAGCCGGCCUGAGAGGGCGACCGGCCACACUGGGACUGAGACACGGCCCAGACUCCUACGGGAGGCAGCAGUGGGGAAUAUUGCACAAUGGGCGGAAGCCUGAUGCAGCGACGCCGCGUGAGGGAUGACGGCCUUCGGGUUGUAAACCUCUUUCAGCAGGGACGAAGCGUAAGUGACGGUACCUGCAGAAGAAGCGCCGGCCAACUACGUG
rnacentral:rRNA from 1 species